UUAUUGGGCGUAAAGCGUCCGCAGGCGGCUUUUCAAGUCUGCUGUUAAAGCGUGGAGCUUAACUCCAUCAUGGCAGUGGAAACUGAAAGGCUUGAGUAUGGUAGGGGCAGAGGGAAUUCCCGGUGUAGCGGUGAAAUGCGUAGAUAUCGGGAAGAACACCAGUGGCGAAGGCGCUCUGCUGGGCCAUUACUGACGCUCAUGGACGAAAGCCAGGGGAGCGAAAGGGAUUAGAUACCCCUGUAGUCCUGGCCGUAAACGAUGAACACUAGGUGUCGGGGGAAUCGACCCCUUCGGUGUCGUAGCUAACGCGUUAAGUGUUCCGCCUGGGGAGUACGCACGCAAGUGUGAAACUCAAAGGAAUUGACGGGGGCCCGCACAAGCGGUGGAGUAUGUGGUUUAAUUCGAUGCAACGCGAAGAACCUUACCAGGGUUUGACAUCCUGCGAACCUCUUAGAAAUUUGAGGGUGCCUUCGGGAAUGCAGUGACAGGUGGUGCAUGGCUGUCGUCAGCUCGUGUCGUGAGAUGUUGGGUUAAGUCCCGCAACGAGCGCAACCCACGUUUUUAGUUGCCAGCAUUUAGUUGGGCACUCUAGAAAGACCGCCGGUGAUAAACCGGAGGAAGGUGUGGAUGACGUCAAGUCAUCAUGCCCCUUACACCCUGGGCUACACACGUACUACAAUGCUACGGACAAAGGGCAG
rnacentral:rRNA from 1 species